UCAAGUAAUUAAGUGCAUGUGGUGGAUGCCUUGGCAGUCAGAGGCGAUGAAAGACGUGAUAGCCUGCGAAAAGCUCCGGGAGGCGGCAAAUAUCCUUUGAUCCGGAGAUGUCUGAAUGGGGAACCCACCUACUUUAAGGUAGGUAUUGCAACAUGAAUACAUAGUGUUGCAAGGCGAACGAGGGGAAGUGAAACAUCUCAGUACCCUUAGGAAAAGAAAUCAAUUGAGAUUCCCUCAGUAGCGGCGAGCGAACGGGGAUCAGCCCAUUAAGUUAUGUGUGUUUUAGUGGAACGCUCUGGGAAGUGCGAACGUAGAGGGUGAUAUUCCCGUACACGAAAGGGCACACAUAAUGAUGACGAGUAGGGCGAGGCACGUGAAACCUUGUCUGAAUAUGGGGGGACCAUCCUCCAAGGCUAAAUACUCCUGACUGACCGAUAGUGAACCAGUACCGUGAGGGAAAGGCGAAAAGAACCCCUGUGAGGGGAGUGAAAUAGAUCCUGAAACCGCAUGCAUACAAGCAGUGGGAGCACCUUCGUGGUGUGACUGCGUACCUUUGUAUAAUGGGUCAGCGACUUAUAUUCAGUAGCGAGGUUAACCGUAUAGGGAGCCGUAGAGAAAUCGAGUCUUAAUAGGGCGUUUAGUUGCUGGGUAUAGACCCGAAACCAGGCGAUCUAUCCAUGAGCAGGUUGAAGGUUGGGUAACACUAACUGGAGGACCGAACCCACUGUCGUUGAAAAGCCAGGGGAUGACUUGUGGAUAGGGGUGAAAGGCUAAUCAAGCCUGGUGAUAGCUGGUUCUCCCCGAAAGCUAUUUAGGUAGCGCCUCGGACGAAUACCAUAGGGGGUAGAGCACUGUUUCGGCUAGGGGGUCAUCCCGACUUACCAAACCGAUGCAAACUCCGAAUACCUAUGAGUACUAUCCGGGAGACAGACUGCGGGUGCUAACGUCCGUAGUCAAGAGGAAAACAAUCCAGACCGCCAGCUAAGGCCCCAAAAUCAUAGUUAAGUGGGAAACGAUGUGGGAAGGCAUAGACAGCUAGGAGGUUGGCUUAGAAGCAGCCACCCUUUAAAGAAAGCGUAAUAGCUCACUAGUCGAGUCGGCCUGCGCGGAAGAUGUAACGGGCUAAAACUAUGUGCCGAAGCUGCGGAUGUAUACUUUGUAUACGUGGUAGGGGAGCGUUCUGUAAGCCGAUGAAGGUGUGUUGAGAAGCAUGCUGGAGGUAUCAGAAGUGCGAAUGCUGACGUGAGUAACGACAAAACGGGUGAAAAACCCGUUCGCCGAAAGACCAAGGGUUCCAGUCCAACGUUAAUCGGGGCUGGGUGAGUCGACCCCUAAGGCGAGGCCGAAAGGCGUAGUCGAUGGGAAAAUGGUUAAUAUUCCAUUACUUCUGUGUAAUGCGAUGAGAGGACGGAGAAGGCUAAAUCAGCCUGGCGUUGGUUGUCCAGGUGAAAGGAUGUAGGCAUGUAUCUUAGGCAAAUCCGGGGUACUCUAUGCUGAGAUCUGAUAGCAAGCUGUACUUGUACAGCGAAGUGGUUGAUGCCAUGCUUCCAGGAAAAGUCUCUAAGCUUCAGUUACACAGGAAUCGUACCCGAAACCGACACAGGUGGUCAGGUCGAGUAGACCAAGGCGCUUGAGAGAACUCUGCUGAAGGAACUAGGCAAAAUGGUACCGUAACUUCGGGAGAAGGUACGCUGUUGUUGGUGAUGGAACUCGCUUCCUGAGCUGACGACAGCCGCAGAAACCAGGCCGCUGCAACUGUUUAUUAAAAACAUAGCACUCUGCAAACACGAAAGUGGACGUAUAGGGUGUGAUGCCUGCCCGGUGCUGGAAGGUUAAUUGAUGGGGUUAGCGUAAGCGAAGCUCUUGAUCGAAGCCCCAGUAAACGGCGGCCGUAACUAUAACGGUCCUAAGGUAGCGAAAUUCCUUGUCGGGUAAGUUCCGACCUGCACGAAUGGCAUAAUGAUGGCGGCGCUGUCUCCAGCAGAGGCUCAGUGAAAUCGAAAUCGCUGUGAAGAUGCAGUGUACCCGCGGCUAGACGGAAAGACCCCGUGAACCUUUACUGCAGCUUGACACUGAACUUUGACCUUACUUGUGUAGGAUAGGUGGGAGGCUUUGAAGCUGGAACGCUAGUUCCAGUGGAGCCGUCCUUGAAAUACCACCCUGGUAAUGUUGAGGUUCUAACUCUGUCCCGUGAUCCGGGACGAGGACCGUGUCUGGUGGGUAGUUUGACUGGGGCGGUCUCCUCCUAAAGAGUAACGGAGGAGUACGAAGGUGCGCUCAGCGUGGUCGGAAAUCACGCGUAGAGUAUAAAGGCAAAAGCGCGCUUAACUGCGAGACCCACAAGUCGAGCAGGUACGAAAGUAGGUCUUAGUGAUCCGGUGGUUCUGUAUGGAAGGGCCAUCGCUCAACGGAUAAAAGGUACUCUGGGGAUAACAGGCUGAUACCGCCCAAGAGUUCAUAUCGACGGCGGUGUUUGGCACCUCGAUGUCGGCUCAUCUCAUCCUGGGGCUGAAGCAGGUCCCAAGGGUAUGGCUGUUCGCCAUUUAAAGAGGUACGCGAGCUGGGUUUAGAACGUCGUGAGACAGUUCGGUCCCUAUCUACCGUGGGCGCUGGAAAUUUGAGAGGAUCUGCUCCUAGUACGAGAGGACCAGAGUGGACGAACCUCUGGUGUACCGGUUGUGACGCCAGUCGCAUCGCCGGGUAGCUAUGUUCGGAAGGGAUAACCGCUGAAAGCAUCUAAGCGGGAAGCCUACCUCAAGAUAAGAUUUCCCUAGGACUUUAUGUCCUCUAAAGAGCCGUUCGAGACUAGGACGUUGAUAGGUUGGAUGUGGAAGCAUAGUGAUAUGUGAAGCUGACCAAUACUAAUUGCUCGUGAGGCUUGACUA
rnacentral:rRNA from 1 species